AAGGCAUAGCGAAGAAGGUGAGACUCCUGUAGUCGAAAUUAAGAAUCAAAGUAGUGAGAAAGAGUAAGGCGGAGCACGAGAAAUUCCGUUUGAAUAUGUGAGGACCAUCUCAUAAGGUUAAAUACUAGCUAGUGACCGAUAGCGAACCAGUACUGUGAAGGAAAGGUGAAAAGAACCCCGGGAGGGGAGUGAAAUAGAACCUGAAACUGUGUGCCUACAAGUAGUCAGAGGACGUUAAAGUCUGAUGGCGUGCCUUUUGUAGAAUGAACCGGCGAGUUACGGUAUUUAGCAAGGUUAAGCUUAAAAGAGCGGAGCCGAAGCGAAAGCGAGUUUGAAUAGAGCGAUAAGUUGAAUGCUGUAGACCCGAAACCCGGCGAGCUAGCCAUGAGCAGGUUGAAGUCUGUGUAAAAGCGGAUGGAGGACCGAACUAGGGCCUGUUGAAAAAGGCUUUGAUGACUUGUGGCUAGGGGCGAAAAACCAAUCGAGCUGGGAUAUAGCUGGUUCUCCCCGAAAUAACUUUAGGGCUAGCGUUAUGAAAUAUUUCAUGCAGGUAGAGCACUGAAUGGUAGAUGGUCCCACCUCGGGAUACUGACAUCAAUUAAACUACGAAUGGUAUGAAGGAAAUCAUAGCAGUCAGACUGUGAGUGAGAAAAUCCAUGGUCAAGAGGAAAAGAGUCCAGACCGCCAAAUAAGGUCCCAAAAUGUAUGCUAAGUGGAGAAGGAUGUAGAGACGCUUAAACAACUAGGAGGUUGGCUCAGAAGCAGCCAUCCUUUAAAGAGUGCGUAAUAGCUCACUAGUCGAGUAUUUCCGCGCCGAAAAUGUACCGGGGCUAGAGCAUACUACCGAAGUUGCGGAUUAGAUAGCAAUAUCUAGUGGUAGGGGAGCGUUCCAUACUGGGGUGAAGCAAGAUCGAAAGGACUUGUGGACUGUAUGGAAGUGAGAAUGCCGGUGUAAGUAACGAAAAGACAGGUGAGAAUCCUGUCCGUCAGAAACCCAAGGUUUCCAGGGGAAGGUUCGUCCGCCCUGGGUCAGUCGGGGCCUAAGGUGAGUCCGAGAGGAGCAACCGAUGGAUAACAGGUUUAUAUUCCUGUACUAGUAUAUAAACAGAUGGAGUGACGGAGAAGGCUAGGCAGUGCCCCUUAGUGGAUUGGGGUCGAGAUAGCGAGGUUCGGUAUAAAGUCAAAUGCGUAUACCUUAUGCUAAGCUAUGCUAGGUAAAACUGUACGAUGUCUGGCUUCCAAGAAAAGCUUCUAAGGUUAAUUUAUAUACUACCCGUACCGUAAACCGACACAGGUGGGUAGGAAGAGAAUUCUAAGACGCGCGAGAAAACCCUUGUUAAGGAACUCUGCAAAAUGACCCCGUAACUUCGGAAUAAGGGGAACUCAUAGAGAUAUGAGUCACAGAAAAGAAGCCCAAGCAACUGUUUAACAAAAACACAGGUUUAUGCAAAAUCGUAAGAUGAAGUAUAUGAGCUGACACCUGCCCGGUGCUGGAAGGUUAAGAGGAGAGGUUAGUCGCAAGACGAAGCUUUGAAUUGAAGCCCCAGUAAACGGCGGCCGUAACUAUAACGGUCCUAAGGUAGCGAAAUUCCUUGUCAGGCAAGUUCUGACCUGCACGAAAGGUGUAAUGUCUUUGGGCACUGUCUCAACAGGGGGCUCGGUGAAAUCA
rnacentral:rRNA from 1 species